rnacentral:rRNA from 1 species
AUGCAACUAAUACUCAAUUUUCUAGGACUUGAUACAUCAUGGUCUUCUUGUGCUUUGUUGUUUGGUUGGUGUAGAAUCCGUCAGCUCUUACCAAGAGGCUCUAGCUUCGAACCUGACUCUUUUAGUAGUUGGAGUGUUGCACGCAUGGAAUUGAUCGCAGAGAGGAAGCGAAGCAGCAACAGUUUGGGUUCAGAGAAGAUUAGGAGCAGCAGUUCAUUGGAGAAGGAGAGGUACAGCAGCGGAGGGUAG